rnacentral:rRNA from 1 species
UACAGGGGGUGCAAACGUUGCUCGGAAUUAUUGGGCGUAAAGCGCGCGUAGGCGGCCACUUAAGUCGGAUGUGAAAGCCCCUGGCUCAACUGGGGAAGUGCACCCGAAACUGAAUGGCUUGAAUGCAAAAGAGGGUCGCGGAAUUCCCGGUGUAGAGGUGAAAUUCGUAGAUAUCGGGAGGAACACCGGUGGCGAAGGCGGCAUCCUGGACCAACACUGACGCUGAGUGAGCGAAAGCCGGGGGAGCAAACGGG